UACAGAGGUCUCAAGCGUUGUUCGGAUUCAUUGGGCGUAAAGGGUGUGUAGGUGGCGCGCUAAGUCGGGUGUGAAAUUUCGGAGCUUAACUCCGAAACUGCAUUCGAUACUGGCGUGCUUGAGGACUGGAGAGGAGACUGGAAUUCAUGGUGUAGCAGUGAAAUGCGUAGAGAUCAUGAGGAAGACCAGUGGCGAAGGCGGGUCUCUGGACAGUUACUGACACUGAGGCACGAAGGCCAGGGGAGCAAACGGG
rnacentral:rRNA from 1 species